GUCCCAUCCAGAGCGGCUGAGAGACCUGGCUCGGCGAUGCCGCAGCAACCCCUUUGCGGUGGGUGCUUCCGCCAGGACCGAUGGAGA
rnacentral:ncRNA from 2 species